AUUGAACGCUGGCGGCAGGCCUAACACAUGUAAGUCGAACGCGUGGCGGACGGGUGAGUAAUGUCUGGGAAACUGCCUGCUGGAGGGGGAUAACUACUGGAAACGGUAGCUAAUACCGCAUACCAUCAGAUGUGCCCAGAUGGGAUUAGCUAGUAGGUGAGGUAACGGCUCACCUAGGCGACGAUCCCUAGCUGGUCUGAGAGGAUGACCAACCACACUGGAACUGAGACACGGUCAAGACUCCAACGGGAGGCAGCAGUGGGGAAUAUUGCACAAUGGGCGAAAGCCUGAUGCAGCCAUGCCGCGGGUAUGAAGAAGGCCUUCGGGUUGUAAAGUACUUUCAGCGGGGAGGCGUUACACGCAGAGGAAGCACCGGCUAACUCCGUGCCAGCAGCCGCGGUAAUAC
rnacentral:rRNA from 1 species